rnacentral:rRNA from 1 species
UGAGGGAUCUUGCGCAAUGGGCGAAAGCCUGACGCAGCGACGCCGCGUGAGGGAAUACGGCCUUCGGGUCUUAAACCUCUGUCAGUGGAGAAGAGUAGGGACGGUACCUACUGAGGAAGCCCCGGCUAACUACGUGCCAGCAGCCGCGGUAAUACGUAGGGGGCGAGCGUUGUCCGGAAUUACUGGGUGUAAAGGGCUCGUAGGCGGGAGAGUAAGGUGCCGACGAAAACCCAGGGCUUAACCCUGGAUUGAUCGGCAAUACUGCUUUCCUUGAGGACAGGAGAGGAGAGUGGAAUUCCUGGUGUAGCGGUGAAAUGCGUAGAUAUCAGGAGGAACACCAGUGGCGAAGGCGGCUCUCUGGCCUGUCCCUGACGCUGAGGGACGAAAGCCAGGGGAGCGAACG